ACAAACACUAGGUCUCCAACAAAG
rnacentral:siRNA from 1 species